CAGGAGAGCAGCAAAGCAUUACUAAAUGUCUACAUACAACAUUUGUGAUAUUGCAUAAGGAAACAUUGUAUGAAGUUUAGAACACUCCAAACCUGCCAUUAAAAGAACCAGUGAAAAGGGCUGAUAACAUCAGGAUAUGUACUGACAAAUAACUAGUGAACUGAAAAGCUCAUGGCAUUUUAUAAAAAUGCAUUAGUUGGUGUUUAAAAGUGGUUAAUGGUAGGAAGCUAAGGCUUGGGUGUUUUUGGAUGGCUUUUGGAUGGUGCUCUUGACGGACACAACUGGGUCUGAUCAUUAAUCUAUGAAGACAGUCUGAGGGAGCUGGGCUUGUUCAGCCUAGAGAAGAGAAGGCUGUGGGGUGACCUCAUUGCAGCUUUUCAGUACCUAAAGGGAGCCUAUAAACAGGAGGGGAGUCAACUCUUU
rnacentral:lncRNA from 1 species